GAUGAAGAACGUAGUAAAAUGCGAUAAGUAAUGUGAAUUGCAGAAUUCAGUGAAUCAUCGAAUCUUUGAACGCACAUUGCGCCCGCCAGUAUUCUGGCGGGCAUGCCUGUUCGAGCGUCAUUUCAACCCUCAAGCUCAGCUUGGUGUUGGGACUCGCGGUAACCCGCGUUCCCCAAAUCGAUUGGCGGUCACGUCGAGCUUCCAUAGCGUAGUAAUCAUACACCUCGUUACUGGUAAUCGUCGCGGCCACGCCGUAAAACCCCAACUUCUGAAUGUUGACCUCGGAUCAGGUAGGAACACCCGCUGAACUUAAGCAUAUCAAUAAGCGGAGGA
rnacentral:misc_RNA from 1 species